rnacentral:rRNA from 1 species
AGAGUUUGAUCCUGGCUCAGAAUGAACGUUGGCGGCGUGGAUUAGGCAUGCAAGUCGAACGAGUCUCUAGGGGGUAACUCUUAGAGAAAAGUGGCGAAAGGGGCAGUAAUGUAUGGGUAACCUACCUUGAGGUCUGGGAUAGCUAUUCUAACGGAUAGGUAAUACCGGACGGCCUGAGUUGUCGGCAUCGAUGAUUUAGUAAAGGUUACGCCUCGAGAGGGGCCCAUAUGAUAUUAGCUAGUUGGUGAGGUAAUGGCUCACCAAGGCAAAGAUGUCUAGCGGGUGUGAGAGCACGACCCGCGUCACUGGCACUGAGACACUGGCCAGACUCCUACGGGAGGCUGCAGUCGAGGAUCUUCGGCAGUGGACGCAAGUCUGACCGAGCAACGCCGCGUGUGCGAUGAAGGCCUUCGGGUUGUAAAGCACUGUCGAGGGGAAACAAGCCGUAAGGUUGAGUGACCCCUGGAGGAAGCACGGGCUAAGUUCGUGCCAGCAGCCGCGGUAAGACGAACCGUGCAAACGUUAUUCGGAAUCACCGGGCUUAAAGGGCGCGUAGGCGGGUAAUCAAGUCAAUGGUGAAAUCCUCCAGCUUAACUGGAGAAGUGCCUUUGAUACUGAUUGUCUAGAGUGAGGUAGGGGCAUGUGGAACUUCCGGUGGAGCGGUGAAAUGCGUAGAUAUCGGAAGGAACGCCAGUGGCGAAAGCGAUGUGCUGGACCUUUUCUGACGCUGAGGCGCGAAAGCUAGGGGAUCAAACGGGAUUAGAUACCCUGGUAGUCC